rnacentral:lncRNA from 1 species
AAUAGAUUCUAAAGGGUGCAUUAUCGGUCUCAUUGUGUCCAUGGAAGGGUAUUGGUAAAAUACCUCUUCAUAACGCUUCUUGUUAUUUUGCAUAUUUCUACAUUUCUUUAACAGUUAGAACGUGAAAUUGGGCCCAACGACACCAACAGCUGUUUAAAAGUCUGUAAGUAGACACACAUAUACACACAUACACUCCGGGUCAGGAGAAUAGCGUCUACACAGUGAGACAUGCAUGCUUAACCAUCUAUAAAAUGAAUUAUUAUUAACUCUAAUCACUACAAUUAUGCCAUUUAAUUCAUUUAAUUAAUUAAUUCUUACUUUAUAUUGAUCAUUCCAUAUUUGAUCAUUCUCUUGAAUUCCUAUGUAUUAAAUUAGUCCCACAUAUAUAAUACACAUGCAGUAAAAAUAGUUUUAAGGGUUAGGGUAGAAAUAAUGGGGGUUACAAACAACCUGAAGUCAUACAAGUCAAAGUAAAAUUAUAACGAUUUAACAUGAAUUUCUAAUCUGAUUUUUGGGAGGGGUUCCUAAGGCACAUAGGCAGCAGCGGCAGGUUUUGGGUAGAACCAUAAUGGC